CCAAAAAGAAGAGAACUUAGAGAAGACACUCAUCUCUCUCACCAAGUGAUCUCUCUCUUCCAUAAACACACACAUAAACUAAGCUUUCUCUCACUCAAAUCUCUCCAUAAACCUCACUAAUCACUCAAAAUCUAAAAAAUAACAUAAAAUGGAAGCCUACUCCUCAAGCUAGACAAAGGAAGGAAGCAGAAAAAAAGAAAAAAAAGAAGAAGAAAUUGCAAGAAAAUAGAGAAAGGGCUGAAACUUCCCACCGGCCGAUCUACCACCUCCGACGACGGUGAGAUACACCGCCUGCACUAGAUGGAAGAGGAAGCGUUUAUGUAGCUGCGGGCCCUUCACGCACUCCAAGAGCUCAUAGGCAUAUGGAAAAACACGCCACAAGCCACGGUGGUUCAAGCCGAGAUUGUAACCGACGCUCCACCAUGAACCUCCUAUGAAACCACCGGUCACUAACAACCUUUGUGCUCAUUUCAUCCACCAUUGAAGAUGGAAUGUACAUGGUGGCAAUUGACCACGUUCUUAGACCUGGUCGUUAUUGUGUGCUUUCUGGUCCCCCAUUAACAAUAUAAGAAUGAUUACCAAGCAUUGCAGCGUCCUAAAGAGGAACUGGAGGAGGAACAGAGGAAGAUCGAAGAGGUUACCAAACUUCUUAGCUGGGAAAAGAGGCAUGAGAUUGGUGAAAUAGCUAUCUGGCAUAAGAGAAUAAAUAAUGAUUUUUUCCGUGAGCAAGAUCCUAAACCAACUAUGUGUAAAUAUUUAUACUCUAAACAAUUUGCUAGAAAGAAGCUUAUCUUUGCUAGAAAAAUACAAAACAUUUUUUUUUUAUGUUCUGGAACUUCUGCCCAUUAUUUCCAGUAAGAACAACAUUGAUAUAGCAGAUCCACGUUUGAUUGUUGUUCCCUGUGUUGCUUUCUUAGUCUUUUUAUUUUCUUUGGCCCUGUUUGAGUGGAUUGUCAUCUGUUGCAAUACUGAUAUUAUGCCAAUAGUGUUACCAUUACUUAAGUUGCACACUACUACGAGGAUGAGUUUCCAUGAUGAAAGAUUUCAGUAGCUUGCGUAUUUCAAAUUAUUCAGCAUGAGAAAUUCUCUGAAGUUAUUUGUUUGAGGUAGAAAGCUUUUGCUCCAUGCUUACAGAAUUUUUUUCAUAUUGUUCUAGGUACAAGAAUGAGUAACACCUUAUCCUGGGACAGAUGAAGUCACCGGGGCAGCAUGGCAGCCAUUUUCAGAGAAACUAAAUGUUGUUCCUCCCAGAAUAUCCAGUGGCUCCAUUCCAGGAUUGUCAGUUGAGAAAUUUCUAGAGGACAAUCGAACAUUAGCACUCAAUAUAUUUCGUUUUAAGCCCUUCCCAUUCAUGAUUCAUGUUCCUAUUAUUCUCGGUAUAGUUGCAAGUAUUUUAUGGUGCUGCAUGAUUUUUGCGUCUAAGUUUCAUUAUAGCCUUUAAAAUUCCAGCUUCGUAUGCGGGGUUAUUGGUCAUAUAAUUGGUGUUGGGGUUGUUCUUGGUCUUCAGAACAUUGGUGCACUGUAAAAAGCGUAUACCCUGCUUUAGAAUUCUUUUUUAAUAAAAUGAAAAUGCCUACAGAUUUUCUGUAAAUGACGGAAUAUUCUUUCGAUGAUUCUGUCUGUAUUAAAAAUCACAGACUAAAUUGUCAACAGAAUAAAAUCGUUGAUGCUCAACUUUCUGAUGACUGAAUUCUGUCAGUGAUUUUUAAUACCAGCAUGAUUUUCUCUAAAUGCUGACCGUCAUUUCUGAGAGUGAAAAAAAUCCUGAAACUAAACGAUUUCUUGAAAAUGGGAAUAGCUCCCAUGAAAGCCCAGGUAUAUCCCGUUGCAUGUGGUGGACAUAUUACAAAAGUAAUUUAUCAAAUUAAGUUUUUAACAACUGAUAUAAGUUAGAUAAAAUUUGAAUAGGCACAUAAACUUUUGAAAUGGAACUAAUGUAUCCGAUUAGUAGUCCAAAAAAUGGAGGAAAAUGAAUUCUUGCAUAUUGUAGAAUUAAACUUUUUCUCUCUUUAAUAUGAGAAUUGAAUAAUCAUAUGUAUUUUUAUAUUAGAUUAUACAUCAAUCAAAAUUAUAUUUUUAUACUAAUGAUCUUAAAAUACAAUUCUCGCGUCGAUCCCAUUUAUCUUAUUAAACCAAUCUUAAAAACUAAAAAAAAAAGAGAUAAAUAUCCUUAACAACUAAAAUCUUGCUGUGUGGAAUUUUUGGUUUUUUUCUUUGAUUUUUCCUAGAUUUUAAACAUCUGUAUGUAUGUGAUUUAUACACUAGCAAGUAGAGUGUUUCAAUCAGGCUACGAAUUUUUCUGUAAAACUUUUGUUAAUGUCAAGUGGUAAAUAGACUUUUUUUAAAACAUACAUGCUAGUUUUCUGGUCAGAGAGUUUUGAGUUGAGGUUUGGAGGAAAUACAUGUUCUUAUGUCAAGUGUAAAUGCUAGUUUUCAAGGGUUUUUUUUUUUUUUUUAAUAACCUUUUGAAAGGCAUGCUGCUUUCUUUAGUGUCUCAGAAUAUGCUUGAGUUGAGAUUUGAGGAAAUGCCUAAUUUAGUGCUUUUAACUCAAUUAUUGGAACGUUCAUGUAUAAUAUACCAAUCAAACAAUCAUGGUAAAGUUAGCAUAAGGAACUACAUCUUUCAAAAUCAUAUAUAUUUCUUAGUUCUUAAUUCGACUAGCAUUUUUGUAUCUCCCGUUUAUUCUUAUGUAGGUUUUGAACUGUGUCUAAGCUUUCUGAAAUAUUGAUGUCUGUCCAAGUUAUAUGAUUGCUGUUUCAUUGAUAUUUUUAGAUUUCUUCCAUUUCAGCUUGUUUGAUGCAUGAAAGAACUGGUGCCCCGCUUUCUGAAAUGAGUUCUCUGAAUAAGUAGACUUUACACUUUAUAUUGCUAGUUCUUAAUUAUUGCUUGUGAAACCAAAACAUGUCUGUAUUAUAGGUUUUUCGCCACAUUUUAAUUUCUUGCUGGUACUGAUCCUGUUUUUGUUUUAAAAUUAUAAAUUUAGGUAGGCUAUGAUAUGAUGAUACUGUGAUGCAGUCAAAACGGAUGUAUUUGUGCCUUAUGGUUGAAUAAUUUUAGAUCAGUUUAACAUUCUGUAAGGGUUUUGACGUGUUGGCAAAAUGCCAAAUUCACCUUUGUUGUUGUAUAUUUUCUUACUAGAAGAUGCAUGUCAGGUUUCUUGAAUAUGGAUGAAGAUAAGUCCUUAUCAGAAGCUCACAGCUGAUGCGCAUGCUAGUUUUGUCCACAUGAACAAGCUUCGGGCACAGUGCUGCAUUGGAAAGUAGAAACGGCUUUAGCUUGCAAGAUUCCAUAUAUUUUUUCAACUCUAUUUUUGGUAUUUGUUCCAGCAUUUCAUUUUUCAUUUUACCCAUAUUCAGAUUAACUAAAAUUCUAGUGAAUGCAUUUCAUAAAUCUUGAUUGGUGUGCAUAUAUGUGGGACUUCUGAUUGCUGCAUUUGAAGAGCGCAGGGAUCUGAAGCUUGGUUAACCCUUGCCUGCUGCUGUAGAAGAUUUGCUUCUAAUUUUGCGAUUGCCUGGUGACUGUCAUGCCAAGUUCUUUUUUUUACAGCCCUGAUAUGAAGUGGAAUGUCUAUAAACAUCCUUUCUACAGUAAUUAUUCCAUCCCGAAAUCAACCAGCCAUGAUCUGUAAUAUAAGCACCGAAAAUUAAUCUGUUGAGCACAAGAGCCAGAUGGCCUAAGACAUUUACUAGAGUGGAGAUCUGAGAUGAGCUACAAAUAUUAAUAUCAUCGCGAUUGCGCCAUCUAUUCAGGUGGUUGAUGAGGCACCUUGAAAUCUUGGUACAUUGCUAUUGUUUUAAGGAUCACUUUAUUUUUUUUGAUAGAUAUGUGCGUAGGCAAUUCAUCUGCAUAUUCAAUUGAUACUACAGAACUUGAGGGACAAAGCUGUUGUAUAUGGAUCAUGUUGUUGUUUUUAUCUUAUAUUAUUAUUUGGAUCAUAGUGGGAAUUUCAUCUAGUCUACGUGUUGGUUAGUGCUAUGUAUCUGUUCUAUCGGUCUUGCUAGCUGAUGGGAGACCUCUUGCUCAUUCUUAUCCUCAGCGUUGCUGCACUUAUAUCAGAUGGUGUGCUGUUGCAGGGAACUGUUGAGCUCCGUCCGAGGGCAUGAGAGAUAAAGGUCUUUGCAUAGUUAUGGAAGUGGAAGUUUGGUUACUAGUGGCACCCUAGCAUCAAAGCAGAUCCUUGAAAAGGUUUUUCAUUUUUCAGUUCUCAUACAGGACGUAGCUGUUACUCAUAGCAGCCCACAUGGAUCGAAGAACUGUGAACCUCCUCCUUUCGCAACCUCUACGGAUGCCGCUGGGGUAGAACUUGAACAUGCGCUGAUUAAAUUCACAUCAGUAACAUGAUUAUGCAGGGAAAAGAUUAUAAAAUCAAACUGAUCAUUAAGAAGAAGAAAGAAGAACUGUCAAGAACAAGUCAUGAAAUUGAUUGGCUCGGAAAGAUAGAGAUAAUUUAGGAUUCCAAGAAACCCUUUCUUUUAUAUUCCAUACAUUUUUUUCCCAUCCUUUUCAGUUUGGAGUUAUCUGCCAUGAGAAUUCCCUACCAAUCAAGUGUUCUCACCGAUGCCCUUUAUUCCUGAUCAAACCUGACUUUUAGGUUUUGUCUCUUUCACUAGCCAAGUUGCCAUGUUGAGACUUUAUCCUCGAGUUAAACCUAGAAACGAAGUCAGAGCGUGCUCACCACGCACAAAUCACAUUGUGACAUCAGAGUAGCUAGUCUGCCGUCGAAGAUAGAGUUCUGAAAUUCAUGGUUCGAAACUUAAAAAGAUGGGGAUUUGAGAGGUUCGAAGCAGAUCCGUUGUAGGGACUUCGGAAGUACAACAAUAUGGGGAUCGGAAUCAGCCUAAAUGUCAGUGCUGCAGUAUGGCAAAGUAGAAGAGAAGAAGCCUCUCUUCCUUCCUUCCUUCCUCUGAGAGGAUAUUCUAAUCAGCACUGGAAUGAAGCUACCAAACGUACAUGGAGAGGGAUAUCCUUCGGCUACUUUCUUCUCUUUAUUUCUUUCUUUUUGUUCAGAAUUAGUACACAGAAUUUCGGGCUAUCCUCUUUGCAGCUCCCAUGAACAUGGUACUCCUCAAAUGAGGAUUCUUUUAUGAUUCAAAAUGUUAAUGAUCGAUUAUUAAAUUAUCCGAUUUGUAUAAAAAUAAUGAAAAAAAACUUAUUAAUUUCAAA